rnacentral:rRNA from 1 species
CCCUUAGAUGUUCUGGGCCGCACGCGCGCUACAAUGAUUGUCUCAGCAUGUUUUGGGUGUGUAAAUACCCAGGAAUCCCGAGUAACAAUCGUGAUGGGGCUAGACCCUUGCAAUUUUUGGUCUCCAACGAGGAAUUCCUAGUAAACGCAAGUCAUCAACUUGCAUUGAUUACGUCCCUGCCCUUUGUACACACCGCCCGUCGCACCUACCGAUUGAAUGGUCCGGUGAAGCCUCCGGAUUGGCGCGCACCUCGGUGCCGCCGAGAAGUUGGCUAAACCUUACCAUUUAGAGGAAGGUGAAGUCGUAACA